GACGUAGGGCGCGAGCGUUGUCCGGAUUUAUUGGGCGUAAAGAGCUCGUAGGCGGUUUGUCGCGUCGAAUGUGAAAACCCGGGGCUCAACCCCGGGCCUGCAUUCGAUACGGGCAGACUAGAGUUCGGUAGGGGAGUCUGGAAUUCCUGGUGUAGCGGUGAAAUGCGCAGAUAUCAGGAGGAACACCGGUGGCGAAGGCGGGACUCUGGGCCGAUACUGACGCUGAGGAACGAAAGCUAGGGGAGCAAACAGG
rnacentral:rRNA from 1 species